rnacentral:rRNA from 1 species
AUGGCGUCGUCCUCUGGUUCAUCGUACUCAGACGGAGGGCGCCGUCGUAGGGCACCAUCCAGGUCGCCGGUGCCCUAUCGAGAGGACCCGAUGGCGUACCAGUCGUCGAGGCCAUGCUACUGCAAGCCGCCGAAAAAGGCAGCCCGUUGGAUUUCCUGGAGCGACAAAAAUCCUGGAAGAAGAUACUAUUGCUGCAUGCUCAGGAUUACCGAUGGCAUGGCUAGAACAGGGGAGGAGAAGUGGAGCAGAGGCUGUACUGGCACAACAAAUUCAUGA